CGCCCCGCCCACCGCGCCGCGGCAGCGCCACCCUGCCUCCUGGGGAGGAGCGCUUACCUCAGCCUAUACAGCCACAGAGGUGCAGAAGGGGGAAUAAAGGCCUGUUUCCCUUAUUUCUUGAAUCUGCAUGUGAUUCUGCAAAGCAAGGCAAGCAUUGAAAGGCUGAACUGCUGAGGGCUCUGCUGGACAGAGGCAUCUUCUUGAUGUGUGGAGGAAGAAAAAAGAAAUGAAUACAAGUGCAAUGGAAGGCAGAGUGAGCUCCAUCUAAAUUAAUAAAAAAUGGARCACAAGGCUGUUAUUUUAUUUGUCUUGGAUGUGGCUACAUGACUGCUGAUUAAGUUACACUGCUCAAAACAAGGCAAAACAUCA